AAGCUUGCUUUCUUUUGCUGGCGACCGGCGCACGGGUGAGUAACACGUAUCCAACCUACCCUUUACUCGGGGAUAGCCUUUCGAAAGAAAGAUUAAUACCCGAUAGCAUAAUGAUUCCGCAUGGUUUCAUUAUUAAAGGAUUCCGGUAAAGGAUGGGGAUGCGUUCCAUUAGGUUGUUGGUGGGGUAACGGCCACCAAGCCUUCGAUGGAUAGGGGUUCUGAGAGGAAGGUCCCCCACAUUGGAACUGAGACACGGUCCAAACUCCUACGGGAGGCAGCAUG
rnacentral:rRNA from 1 species